rnacentral:rRNA from 1 species
CGCUCUUUGUAAUUUAUAAAUAAAGAGUCGGGCCUGCCCAAUGAUAAAUAUUAAAUGGCCGCAGUACCCUGACUGUGCAAAGGUAGCAUAAUCAUUUGCCCUAUAAUUGAGGGCUAGAAUGAACGGUCUGACAAGAACAAAGCUGUCUCUAAAGAGUUACUUAAAAAUUGAUCUUUAGGUGAAGAAGCCUAUAAUAUUACUAAAAGACGAGAAGACCCUGUCGAGCUUAAAAAAUUAUUAGGGAAACUAUAACUUUUUUUGAUUGGGGCGAUCAAGGAACAAAUAAAGCUUCCUAACAUAUAAAAAUAAUAAAUAGUGAUCCAAUAAAAUUGAUUAAAAGACAAGCUACCGCAGGGAUAACAGCGUAAUCCUCUUUGCGAGUUCGUAUCAAAAAGAGAUUUUGCGACCUCGAUGUUGGACUAAAAUAUCCUAAAGAUGUAGAAGUCUUUAAAGGUUGGUCUGUUCGACCAUAAAAAUUUU